AGGAUUCCCCUAGUAACUGCGAGUGAAGCGGGAAAAGCUCAAAUUUAAAAUCUGGUUAGCUUUGCUGCCCGAGUUGUAAUCUAGAGAAGCAUUAUCAGCGCUCGCGGCGUGUACAAGUGUCCUGGAAUGGACCAUCAUAGAGGGUGACAAUCCCGUCUUUGACACGGCUGCCUUUAGUGCUAUUGAUGUGCUCUCAACGAGUCGAGUUGUUUGGGAAUGCAGCUCUAAAUGGGUGGUAAGUUCCAUCUAAAGCUAAAUAUUGGCGAGAGACCGAUAGCGAACAAGUACCGUGAGGGAAAGAUGAAAAGNACUUUGGAAAGAGAGUUAAACAGUACGUGAAAUUGCUGAAAGGGAAACGCUUGAAGUCGGUCGCGUCGGCUGGGUAUUCGAGAAAUCAACCUUUGCUUUUGUAAAAGCUCGGCUUAUUUCCCAGUUGACGGGCCAGCAUCAGUUUUGACCGGUGGAUAAAGGCUAAGGGAAUGUGGCACCUCUUGGGUGUGUUAUAGCCCUCGG
rnacentral:rRNA from 1 species